UCUUAUCACAAGUUUCCUUCAUUACCCCCGCGGUUCUUUGCCCCGCCCCGCCUGUCAAAACCCUAAAAAUCCUCCGAGUCCAAUUCGUCUCUACCGCUCGGCCUUCUCUCCGUCGUCUGCUCCUCUCGCAAAAAUGAGUCGCUCAAGCAGAACUAUCUAUGUGGGUAACCUUCCUGGCGACGUUCGGGAGCGUGAGGUUGAGGAUUUGUUCUACAAGUAUGGGCCAAUUGUGCAUAUUGAUUUGAAAAUCCCUCCAAGGCCACCGGGUUAUGCAUUUGUUGAGUAUGAAGAUGCUCGUGAUGCUGAAGAUGCUAUUCGUGGGCGUGAUGGAUAUGAUUUUGAUGGACAUCGCCUACGGGUUGAGCUUGCACAUGGUGGGCGAGGCCACUCUUCAUCAACUGAUCGUCAUAGUGGUAGUCGCGGUCCACGUGGAGGAGUUUCGAGGCGCUCAGAAUAUAGAGUUUUAGUCACUGGCUUGCCUCAUUCUGCUUCAUGGCAAGAUCUGAAGGAUCACAUGCGUCGUGGUGGGGAUGUUUGUUUCUCACAAGUUUUUAAUGAGGGCAGUGGUAAGACUGGGAUAGUGGACUAUACAAAUUAUGAUGACAUGAAAUAUGCAGUCAAGAAGCUUGAUGGUUCCGAGUUCCGCAAUGCUUUCUCUCGGGGUAGGAUUCAUGUAAAAGAAUAUGAUUCAAGCCGGUCUAGAAGUCGCAGCCGCAGCCGUAGUCCUUCUUACUCUAAAGGGAGGAGUAAUGGUCGGAGUAGGAGUAGAAGUUUGAGUAAAAGCCGAAGCAGAAGCAGGAGCAAGUCUCCAAAAGGCAAAGUGCCGCGACGCUCAAGGUCUCGUUCAAAAUCUGCAUCUCCAGGAUCUCGUUCAGGGUCAAAAGCUCGUUCAGUAUCAAGAUGAGGAUAUAUGCCGCUAUCUGGGGAUUGCAUAUUAGGAUCUUGUUGGGGGUGAUAUUGGUUCAGUUGGCUACGUCUCUUUUUGAUUGAGGAGAUUUGGGAUCUUGAAGAACAUCAUGGAUUACUGUGGUGAAGCUGGACAGUGAACUAAUUGCGAUUUGAAUAGUGGAACACCUUUUUGCUGUGGAAACAUUUUUACUAUCUUGGGACACGGUGCUAGCUACCAAUGCAUGCUAUUUGAUUCUUUUGAUCUCCAUCAAGAUCCAGGUCCCCCGAACCAUCUAAGCCGGCAAGUAAGAGUCCCAAAAGACGCAGUUCAAGCCGAAGCCGGAGCCAGAGUCGAAGCAGGAGCCUUUCGAGGUAAGAGAUGAUGGUAUCGAAGUCGUGGUACUAUGCAUUUGGCGCUGCUAUGCAUCCCGACGACGGAGUUGUGAUUCUAAGUACUCUGUGAUUUCUGGACUUAUUAUUUCCUUGAAUACAUACACACAUGUGCUGCAGGUACACUAUGAAUCGUAUUCCAGUAUUCAACUAAACUAUUUCGGUGUAUUUAUUUACAUGCAUACACUACCAUUACAUUGCAUACAUGCUUUUGACAGUAA